UCCUGUAAGGUACAACUCAAGUUUCACGUCGCAUUUAAACGCGGGGGUGACCCUUAGCCAUUAUGCCCUUCUUAAAGGGAAUUUUCACCGUCUCUCCCACUGGCCGACAAUGUGGUACUGGAAACCGUGGUCUCCUGUGUCCACUGGGACAGGAUGCCCCCAAACCAGUUCUCUGUUUCUCUCACUCACGGAGGGCAGGUCAGGACCACGUGGCGAGGACCAAGCCCCAGCGAGUCCUGGUGAGGACGGGGCAGCCAGCAGGCGCUUCCCCACACCAGCCAGCAGGUGACAGACAAGCCAGGAGGGACGGGAAGGUGUCACCACUGACAGCCGCCAGAGACUCACAUCGACGGACACAAACGACAGGACCCCGGUUCCAAAGGAGCAAAGGAUAUAACCACACGAUUCCCGAAGAUCUGACCCAGACGCACAAGCACUUUGGGAAGGUGUCCACAUUGCCAAGCAGUGGAGGAAACGCAGGUGAAAAGGACAACGGAACCGGACGCACUCGGUGACCGCGGGAACGGGUUUGAUUAAAGCAGCCGGCGCUGGCGAAAAACCACAAAUAUGCGCACGCCGUGGCCCUGCCCUGGGGCCAAGCCCGCGACGCAGCACUCGUGCACGCGCCAUCACUGUCCAGCAACGGGACGGUGCGGCUGGAGGUCCCUGCCCCGUGAGGGGGCAGCCGAGGUAAGAGAUGCACGGGGGAGGAGGGCACUUAAGAUCAGGCACAUACAGCACUGUGGUCACGAGUUUGGGCAAAGCUCUGUGUGAAUGGGGUGAACAAACGUGCAAAUACACGAUCUACACCCACACCAGGUGUUCCUUUCAAUACAGAAAUGCGAUCGGAACGGGCUUGCUCUGCAGUGUGCCCUUUCCCUCCGCAUAGGGGCCUUUCACGGCCCGCACAGCGUUCCUUCCCACAGCGGUGGAGGCCCUGGCCCCACAGCUUCCACGGCGUCACCGGCCCCAGGGCUCCAGGGUGCACUUCCUAGGAGGCUGAGGGCUGAGGGCCAGCAUCCCUGGGCGACCUGGUGAUCUGCAGCUCCCUCCCUAUGUGUGUGUGUGUGUGCACGCGCACGUGUGUGUAUAUUCUGGAUACCAGACCCUUGGUAACUACGCGUCAAAUCUUUCUCCUAGGACAACACUCGAUUUUUAACUUGAUGGUACCUUUUCUCGCUCAAAACUUGCCCAGUUUUACACAACUGAUUUUGUUAAUCCUUCGCUUUAUGCGUUCGGGGUCUUCGACUAGCCUCGCACAGCCUUCUCUAACCCCUAAGUUACACAAGAGACCUCCGGUGUUUCCUGGCUCCUUACAGCAUCUGGAAGAUCUCCUCUUGUGAGUGCAGUGAGGGGGCACCAUUGCCCAGAGGUCUGUCGUCCGCCGCCCCGUCACUUGCCGCUGAGACUGGGCCACACCGUUCACGGGAACGCCACAGAGCGUGAGUGAGCGCCGUUCAGUCCUGCAGGCUUCGCCGUCUGCGUGGGCUCUAGAUGGCCCAUCGACAUUUACUUUUAUAAUUUUUUUUAACGUUUGUAUUUAUUUUCGAGAGAGAGAGACAGAGUGCUCUGCGGGUGCAGAGAGAGAGGGCGACACAGAAUCCAAAACAGGCUCCAGGCUCCGAGCUGUCAGCACAGAGCCCGACGCGGGGCUCAAACCCACGAGCUGUGAGAUCAUGACCUGAGCCGAAGUCGGACGCUUAACCGACUGAGCCACCCAGGCGCCCCCACGUUUACUUUAAAUUGUUAAUAUUCGCGUGGAGAUCAUGGCAAUUUGACGUUUGGGAAGACGCACAUUGUGACAUUUCCUCUCAACCAGAAACGGAGCCGUGUCUCGUUCAUUCAUGUCCUCUCACGUGUCCCGCGGGAGAGCUGUCGCCAGUGUUUCCGCGUGUGCGGGGGGGACCCGACGCCGGUGUGCAGGUCGUCCAUGAGCCUUCCCCCGUGCCGCUGUGUCCGGGGUCAGGAGCAGCAGCCACAGCAUCUUGUCUCCUUCCUGAGCCGUCUCAGGCCGAGAGUCUGGGACAGAUUUUCACAGCUUCACCAAACUGGAAGAAACUCCCUUCUUUUCCCGGUUUCCGAGCGUUCAGGGAGCGGGGCUUACACAGCCUCAGAGGAUUCCGCGGCACUCGUUAAGGGCCCCCCUCCCUCCGCCUCGGAGGCGGACGCAUGGCAGACCGGCUCCCCCAGCCUCUCCUGGCCUCCCUGUUGCCGCACGAGGGAUGUGGCGCCGGGCACGCGCUCUGCACGAAGGGGUCCUUGCCGCCAUCGAGGCCUUCCUUUGAGCCCCCGGACGUGGUGGGGCCGGAGUCCGACCUGCCCCGCACACGACUUUACACUCCAGCUUUCAGAAUCUUUCUUUCUACGGACAGCAGAGAAGCAGGCUUUGCUUUACGGACCACUUGGGGCAUCUUUAAACAGGUGAGUUAAUUCAAUUCCCUGUUUACAGAUAGGACGAUAGGCCGUGCACAAGUCUAACCUACCAGCCCGUUGUUUGCAUGCAGGCCUCUUAAGCCUUUCACCGCAAAGUUUAAGGCGGAUUUCGUUACAAUUUUCCCGUCCUGUUGGCAAUUUGGAGUUUUGUCCUCCCGACCACCCUUUAUAAGCAGCCCGGCAUCUCCAGCCGUGUGUGGCACCCACGGGUCUGCCACCAUGGCCUCAGUGACCCCCACCUCGCCAGCACCGCUCGGCCACCUUCGCUCUCCCUCCGGGAGUUACCGGCUCCGAUCCCCGGCUCCCACCAGAGGUGACCUGGGCUGCCCUUCCCUGUGUUGGGCACGAUACCCCAAGCACGCUGUGCUCCCGGACAGUCUCCUGGCUCCGCGCCUCACACUCGAGCCUCUUACCCUGUAGCCGCUGCCCCUGACGAACCGCUCAGCUGGCCGCAGGGUCUCUGGUCUCUGGCCCUCUCUUCUCCUGAACACCGUGUGGGAGCUGACCCUCUGUGCUCAGGCGCGGAGCUCUGUGUCCACAGCUGGCAAGCCGGCCUCCUUCUCUUCCCUGGUAUGCAAUUCAGUGUCUUCGUCUGGCUACCAGAGGGUUUUGUCACACCCAUAAUUUUGAUACAGUAUUUACUACGCUGGCCAUUCUGGAUGGAUUUCCCGGAAACACAGCACCGUCUUCACCUCCUUCCGGUGUCCGGAGCGCCCGCGGUCACGCAGAGACUGUCCUCGGCCCGUGCCCGGUGUUGUGCUGGUCUCGUCCUUCCCCGCUCUCUCCCCACCGCAUCCUGCUCGGUCCCCGCGUCUGUCCCACGUCUGCCCCGCGCUCCCACGCGCUCCGGGCAGCUGAAGCUUCUGCUGGGAGAUGCCGGUCUCCUCCUGUUCCACCCCACGCCCCCUGCGUUCCCGACUCAGCUCUGCCUGCCGUCUGGCCGCCUCUGACUCCUCACUCUCUCAAGUCCAGUGCUUCGUGACAGCAGCCGUCCCAGUGGCGUCUCUCCACCACAGGCGGCUUCUGUGGUUCCUUCACCACCCCGCGUGGAGGGCGCCGGGGCUCCGCAGCAGCUGGACUCGGGGAGUGUGCGCCACGCGCUCUGUCUCGGGCACCUUGUCGGUCUCUCUCGGAAGACGGCCCUUCCCGAGCCCGUCACUCCUGCCUCCCAGGAGCCCCCACACCUCCCGUCUCCGCUGCCCCCUUCCGAGACUCAGUGCUGCUGCCCAGCAGGUGCCACCUGCAGAUGGCUCUUCGUCUCCUCUGACAGAGGCACUUCCAGGCUGACGGCCUGUCUGUCCCCAGCCCCACCGAAGACGUACUCCAUAUACUUUUUGUUGCUGUUGCUCUGGGAGCGAGCAGCCACCCUCUCCUACCACAGUCCUACGUGUAUUUUAAUGUUUACAGGUUCCUGUUGCCGCACCGUGGGUCCACUCCUGUCUCCCGUUUUCUUCAUUGACCUUCUUUUAAGAUCUCUCCAAGCUGUUAGAUACGCAUGGAGUUCCUGGGUCUCCUCCACCCCCACAACUGCACCCAGUAAGCAGGGGAGUGAGGACCCUACUAAGGCCUCCUCCCUGGCUGCUGUGGCUAUUCAAAGUCUACCUUAUCUGAUGCUAAUGUACUACGAACAGCCUUCUCUGCACUAGCCUUUACUAAGUUUUUAAUUUUCUAGUACACUUACAAGCUUUCUGCUUCCUUUUUUUGUUUAAUUUUUUAAAGUAAUCUCCACACCCAACAUGGGGCUUGAACUCAUGACCCCGAGAUCAGAGAGGCCCGUACUCCACAGACUGAGCCGGCCAGGCACCCCUCUGGUUCAUUCUUAAUACAUAAGUCACAGAGCUUCAGAUCAGAUUCCUGGGGCGCCUGGGUGGCUCGGUCGGUUAAGCGUCCGACUUCGGCUCAGGUCAUGAUCUCGCGCUCUGUGAGUUCCAGCCCCGCGUCGGGCUCUGUGCUGACAGCUCAGAGCCUGGAGCCUGCUUCGGAUUCUGUGUCUCCCUCUCUCUCUGGCCCUCCCCCGUUCAUGCUGUCUGUCUCAAAAAUAAACGUAAAAAAAAAAUUUUUUUUUUAAAAAUCAGGUUCCAGUAUUUUAGCCAGUCUAAACCUUAGUCUUAUAAAUUAAGCCAUUUACAUUUAUUGUGAUCAUUGCCACACGUGUAUUUUUGUGUCCCGUGCAUGGUUUUUUGUUUUUAAGAGAGAAAAAACAGAGGAGAUGGGUAGAAGGAGAGAGAGAGAGAGAGAGAGAGAGAGAGAGAGAGAGAGACAGAGAGGCCCAAACAGCCUCCACAUUCAUUGUGGAGCCUGAUGCAGGGCUUGAACCCACAACUCUGGGAUCGUGACCUGAGCUGAAAUCACGAGUUGGACACACAACCAGCUGAGCUAAACCCGUGCUUUCUAAUUACCCUCUUUUCUCUUUUCACCUCCCUCCUACCUCACUGUCUGCUUUCCUCAUGCUCCUUUCCACUCAGUCGACGACUUGGAAGUCACACCUUCUGUUUCUACUCAUUUAGUAAUUUUCAGUGUAGCUUUAACAUGUAUACUUUGCCAAAGUGGAAAGCUGGUGAGACCUCACCCCUGCAUCCACACAAAACAAGCAGCUCGCAAUGGCUCCGUGCCACCACUUCUAACCCCUCUGGGGCCGUCAGCCUGCCCUGCCCCUGACACCACAGCCCCUCCUGCCCAGCAAUCACCACCGUGGUUCCCACGGUGCCAGGCGGCCAGACCCGUACAGGUGUGCCCACUGUGGAUUCGCAUGCACACCACACCUGCUUGCGUCUCGCAGGUCACUUCUGAAGCUCACUCUGCUUCCUCGGUGGUGCCCGACUGUGGAGCGGGGGCUACCACCUGCCACUCUGUGCCGUGUCUUCUGGCCGCGGGUCACACGUGGAGGAGUCUGUCUGGCUGUCGCUCCUCUCUCUGCCACUUGCAGUCUCUGGCGUCCCUGCUACAUGUCUUUGCUACGUUUGGGUGUUUUUUUUUUUAAUAGCAUCUCUAGGUAUACGUUUAUUUUUAGUUAUGCUAUUCAAAACUUGGGUCAGUUUCCAUCAGAUUCUAGAAAAUCCUUUUGCCACAUGACCCUUCCCCCAUUCUCUCGUCUUUCCUUCUGGAGCAUCUGAACACGUCUGCCUUCUGCGUCUCCCGGCCUCUCCGACAAAGUUUUCAUCUUCCCUUCCCGUGCCACGGCCGACAGCCUCUCUGGUCCCGGCUUCCGCUCCGGCCAUCUGCCCUGUGGCUGCCCAGUGUCUCCUCAGCCGCCUUCUGGGCUCAUCUCGACGACUGCGUGUUAGCUCUUGGCGUGAGGCGUGAUCGCCACGUCUCCUUUAAUGGCUUCGGCCGUUUCUCACACGCUCACUUAAGACGCGGUGCCAGACUUCAGUCUUACUACUUCCGGCUCUCACCAAAAGCUGAGACUUCGUGAAGGUCCUGCUUAAGGACAUCUUGUUCCACGGCCCCGUAAGCGCUGAAGUGGGACUCGCGCUCUUUUUAUGGCAAGGACGUGACGUGAGGAAGAAAAGCAGAAUGCUACGGCCGACGCCCGUACCUCUCACCCGGACACGCCGCCUACUGACACUUUCGCACGUCUGCUUUCUCCUCGUCACCUAGCCCGCAGAGGUGCCCGCGCACACGCUCCUUCCCUCGCCCUCUGCCAGUGAGUUCCUCGGACACGUCAACGCUGUCCUCCCGAGGAGCUCCCUGUGCAGACACUUAGCCAUCAGGGACGGCACCGUGUCCACAGUGGGGUUUCCUGCACGGUCUCCAGGGGGUCCCGUCCGGCAUCCCAGCCCCAGGGUCUAGGGUCCCAGCGGGAAGCGCAUGGACCGCGGCAUCUGCCUCGCCUCCUCAUGGUGGGGCCGCGGCCUCCCUGGGGAUGACCCUGCGAGGUCCCUGGGACCAUCCUAACCUGGUGCGUGAUCAUCUACCUAGUUUCCGGCCAUCCUUCGCGGUAGCCACCCGCUCCUGCUGGACAACGGCCUCAAGGCCGAGCAGCGGACACGAGCCUCGUGACUGCCUUCCCCACGCACGGCGCUCGGGCACCACAGAGGCCGCCCCUGGGGUCAGAGCAGCCCUCCGCGCACACACCCGGGAAGGGCCGUCCUGGCGGGCGGGAGCCAACCUGUGAGCGUCCCGGAUGCACCUUCUUCCGUUCACCCCCACCGGCAAACGGGCGGUGUGGCCCCUGCUCCGAGGACAUCGGUCCCUCUGGCCGACGUAUCCUGCGAACUGCACACCUGGGCUGUGCGGCCGAAAACGUGUAACUCUCCUCAUCUUUUCUCCUCUUUUCACCGACCCUCGGUCCGGCCUGUUUGGUACUUUGUGCACGCACCAGCGGACGCACGCGGCCCCAGGACGCCCUCACGCAGACAGGCCCUCAGGCAGCUGCCGGAAGACGCCGUGCCCCUCAGGAGAAAACGCAUAAACGUCUGAAGACCGGGCCACGCGGACGGGACCACAGACAGGCCUGUGGCCCCGGGGCACAGAGCAGCACACGGCCCGUGGGGAGCUGGCAGCACUACCUUGUCUAUGGUGAGCAUGUAGAAGUGUGUGAUGUCGUUCUCGUGUGCGUGUUUGAUCCUCGCCAUGCACUCCUCCUCGUCAAUCAGCUCACCGACGUACUCGUUCACGAACUCUCCCUGGAAGGCGGAACAGCAGACCGUGACCGUGGUAAACAACGGGGUCCGGGUGCAGGAGCCCGCGCCCGAAGCGCCCGGAGCCGGCACCGCGCGCGCGUCACGAUGCGGUCCGGGGCGCGUCUUCCCAAGUCCCUGGAAGUUCAGGUCUACCUCAACGACUCCAUACUCGGCUCUCAGGGAACAGUUCACCCGAGCCUCCUUCCCAAAGCGGCACCCUAACUCUCGCUUCCUGCAGCAACUGCCUCUGGACACCCUGGCGGCACACCCCGAGGUCCCACACGGCCGGCUGCCACGGCUCGCCUUCCCUAGCAGAGUCUACACGGCGAGAGCCCGGAGGAACUGGCCGCCGAGGCGGGCGGUGGAACCAGACCCGCAGGGGCCGUGCGCGUUUCCGAGCCGCUGCUCUCGCCCGGGAUCGGCCCCGAACCAGACCUGGGGUCUGAGGCCGCCGCCGCCCCCCCAGGCCACAGCCUGGCCUCAUAAGCCAAUUCCGGCUGCCUCUCUACUUCCGGCUGCCCAGCCUAGGACAUGGGCAGGCCGUGUGUGGCCUGUGGCCUUGACGGACGACCUGGUCCCGCGCUGCCCCGGACGGAACGGCCGCCCAUCCAGGGCAGGGCUCCUUCACAGUCUUUCCUGUCAUAGAGCAACCACCAAAAUGCCAAGUGGAGGCCAAGUCAGGGGCCUGCUGAGUUUUACUUCGCUAGACAGCACGCACGUAACGUUUUACGACAUUCAACAGUAGUAACUCAGACUUUUUAAAAACCCCGUUCUUACGUGCGUGCAAAAGCGUACUAAGCAUAUCCAAGCGUAAACCGCCAGCCGGCCCAGGAUUUCUUGCAAGCAAGGAAAGGGGCUCGGCACACACCUUUCUGAUGUCCCGCUUGGCAACCAGGCCCCACCCUUUGCCGUCGGUCUUGAUGAUCUUGGUCUCGGGGUACUGGCGCUUGGUGAAGCACUGAUUCUGGCAGUACUCGCCCGCAGGGCACACCUGCGGGUGGCACUCGAACAUCAGCAUCCGGUUCAGACACUCGGAGUCGAAGCCGCAGGGGUUCUCGUCGGUGGGCUUACAGUUGCACUUGGGGAUCUCAGAGAUGUCGGCCGUGUGGAUCUGGACUUUCCCAUAGGGCUUGUUCACCUGCCGGGGACACGGGGGCGCGUCAGACAAGAGAGCAAGCACCCCGGCCUCCCGCCGGUCCCCACGCUCCAGAGGAGGGUGGCAGGGGGGCAUGGCCCCCCCUCCCCCCGCCCGUCAUUUCACAUCCCUCGUCCACGCUUGCCCCGCCAGGCUUCCAGAAGACAGGCACACAAGCACGUGCUGAGCACAGGGCAGGGUCCCUGUAGCCGGGGACCCGCAGGCAGGUGACCAGGGAGGCUCUGCCCUGGCAAACUCGCGGUUCACGGUGACAGCACAAGAGCAACCCAACCACAAAGCCACAGACAGAGGGGAAGAGGGACUGAAGCAGAGGCCAGUAAGGCGAGGGGAAACGUGGCGGAACAGAAGCCUCCUCACUGCUGGGCCGCGACAGCAAAACACAGAAGCGCGAUCUGAAAACCCGCCUCAGGAGCCCUCAGGUCCCAAGCUGUUUGACCCAGGAGCGCCAUUUCCACGAAGUCAUCCCUGAGGAAACACUAGCCCCAGAGAACGUGUCACCUGCACAUGCACACACAGGGCGCGCCGCCCGGAUCUGAGGAGCAAAGACGCGGCCUUGAGCGGCCAGAAGGCAGCUGACACACCGUGUUGAGAGGCUGCCGGGCCCCAGGCGGCAGGACACGGUGACAUCGGCUCACCCAGCGUGGCUGUGAGGAGCUCCUGGACCUCUCUCCCUCCCACCCCGUGGGGACGUGGGGACCCAGGUUCCCUGCCGGGACUGCCGGGCUCGCCGGAGGCAGCACGGCCGCCCCCGCAGUCCUUGUGCGGCAUCCACACCCUCUACGGCGGGAACAUCGCUUUGUCUCCAGGGCUCUGGCUGACUAGGCCACGUUCCAGCCGAGCACCGGCCCGGGCUGGCCACCUCUCAUCCAAGCUCGUCCCCAGCGCCGGGUGACGACGGCGUGCCCGCCACCACCCCAGUGCCUCACGGGCCCCCGGCUGGAGCCUCACAAGGGCAAAACCCAAAACCGCGGAGACCCCCCCCCCCCAGCCCUGCCUGCACGCCCUCCCCGCCCCCCAGAAAGGACACACGCUGGGCAGUGGCCGCACCUGCUCUCUGCCCGUGACCUCAGGCAGCGGUCCACACGGGGGCUACAGACAGAUGCUUGCUCACGGCAGCCCUCUUACCCACCGCGGCCGGAGGGCCCACCCACGGUCCCCGCAGUGACCCCUGACCCGGCCCCCCACCCCCGUCACCUUAAUGUGCUUGUACGGCGGGGGCUUGCGCUCACUCUCCUGCGUUUCUCUGGCUUCCCUUUGAAGUUUGAUUUCACGAAAACGAGCUUCAGCUUCCUGCAGUGCUAAAAAGUCCACGAAAUGUGAGCGUGAGUAAGAGGUUUAGUAAAUUCACACCUCCACCUACA